UAAAGUUUUUACAAGCAAUUUGUCGUUUAGUCUUGAAAAUAGCACUAAGAUAUUGACAGCAUUAUUUUCAACUGUAUUGACAGGACAGCUUGAAACUGCAUAACCAGCAGCAAAGUCCAAUCAUGCUCGUCAUACUCUUCGUUGUUCUAAUCCUACUCAUUCUGAUUAUGGGGUACUUUUGCAAAUGCCCUAGAGGAAUGAAAUUUCCAGGUGUUGGGGUUCACACAAUUACAUAAGUAAUCUGACACAAGGUAAACAACAGGCUGCUUUGAAAGACACCAAGAGAUGCACAGAAUGCUUUGAUUACCUAUAAUCAACUGUCACAGGAUCAAAAUUUUGUGAAGAAAAUUUUAAUUGCAAUGCAUUGUCAAAAUUUUAAAAUAUUGUCUGUUCUUCAUUAAAAGCUUUUUGCAUAUUUGGAAUUCA